UUACAGAGCGCCUGCGAUGCAAAUUAAUCUCCCAAAUCCAGCAGCCAACUCCUAGUGUGCAUCACUUUGUAUCCAGAGAAACCUCAUUUAAAAACUACCAAAAAAAAUAUGCAUCAGCCCAGAUUAGGACUUUAACAUAAAGCCUCUUUCUGUCUCAUUACCAGCAAAUUUAUUUUGAUCCCAAAGAGAGUUAGAUAUGUCGCAUGUGUUUUUUUUUUUUUACUAUUUCUAUUUGUAUGAGAAUAUACUGCAGCACAUACUGUGCUUAAGCUGUAGUAGCAAUGGCAGGUUGGUGCCAUCUAAUAUAUAAUCCUUGCUAUUACCCACGGGAGGCCAGAAAGGAGGGUAUGUGAGGCGGGAGGAGGGUGUGAGAAAAAAAAAAAACAGGACAAGGAGCAAAAUUUAUCUACCUGGGAACGCUGAGCAGCCAAAGAAUCUGGAGGUUUUCAUGCGGAAACCUUGUAAGUACAGGUUUUACACUCAAUUAAAAGGAUUGUGGGUAAAAAAAACUUAAAUGUGCCGAUAACGUUCGUAAAAAUAUUUCCAGAACUGCACAAACUACAAGCUUGGAAGUCUUAAUUUCUCUGCUCCUGCAACUUUGACAUAUUGGAGAUACAAGAUUUUCACCUGCCAGCGGCAGGGAGCAUGGCGAGUGGUUGCUAUGGCGACUCUCUCGUCUAGCCGAGCAGAGGGGACAUGUAAAAAGGGGGGUUUGCUCUCUCUCUCUCUCUCUGCCUUUCCAUGUUUCUCUUUUUCUAGGCUGUAGCCAUAAAUAAAUGGACACAUCUCCUACAGCCCCUCUUCCCCUCCGGAGCUCAAUGAAAACAGGCAGUCAACAUUCACUAUGUGACAUCCUGGAAAAUGAGGUGUCGUGCUUGAGGAUUUCCAUGACAGCCAAAUCAUGCAGAAGAAGCUGUAGUUCAUCUAAACAGGGUCACCAGCGUCGACUGUGCUGCUGCAGCGACAGUCCCAGCCGACGGGUACUGGAUGCUUAAAAAAGGUAACAGGAAAUUGGCCAUUCAGCACAUCAUCUACAGUAGCUGCUCCAGUCAGCCAACGGACUGAUGGAUGGCAAGUCACACUCAAGCUGCGACACCAUUGAUUUUCUACAUAUACAACCCAAGACUGCUGAUUCAAGAUAAUGUUACGUUUUUAAAAGGCUUCGCUGUGACAUUGCGAUGAUAAAUUUAGGCCAUGAAACUGAUAAAUGAGCCCGGGCAACAUUGACAGUUAAGAUU